CCUACGGGAGGCAGCAGUAGGGAAUAUUGCUCAAUGGGGGAAACCCUGAAGCAGCAACGCCGCGUGGAGGAUGAAGGUUUUCGGAUUGUAAACUCCUUUUGUUAGAGAAGAUAAUGACGGUAUCUAACGAAUAAGCACCGGCUAACUCCGUGCCAGCAGCCGCGGUAAUUCGGAGGGUGCAAGCGUUACUCGGAAUCACUGGGCGUAAAGAGGGCGUAGGUGGGAUAGCAAGUCCGAAGUGAAAUCCUAAGGCUUAACCAUAGAACUGGCUUUGAAAUUGUUAUUCUAGAGUAGGGGGGAGGUAGGUGGAAUUCUUGGUGUAGGGGUAAAAUCCGUAGAGAUCAAGAGGAAUACUCAUUGCGAAGGCGACCUGCUAGAACAUAACUGACGCUGAUGCGCGAAAGCGUGGGGAGCAAACAGGAUUAGAUACCCGAGUAGUC
rnacentral:rRNA from 1 species